rnacentral:lncRNA from 1 species
GUUUGGAAAAGCAGACAAUUCUUUGAUAUUUAGAUAAUAGGAGAAGAACCUCAACUAAAGCCCUAAUAUGGCAGCUCAUCACCUUUUGGAAAGGACUGGAUUCUCAGAGAUUGUGUCUGAACAGCACAAGAGUUGACUGGUUCUAUUAAGUGGUUCUCCCUUCCAACUAUCUACAAAACCCUGCCAGCCUCAUGCUGCUGUUCCUUUAUUUCUUUAUGAAAACCUGUCCUCAAGACUCUCCAUUGAUAGAAACUCGGAGUGUUCUCCUUUCCAAGGGCAUUUUUCGUUUAAGGGCUGUCAAAACUCUAAGCAAAAGGUUUCCAAGACUAAAGAAUGCAUCAGUGAUUGUCCAGCUGCUCCAUUCUGUGAGAUUGCUCUUGAGAAAGCAGAGAUUAUAUUUUGCUCAAAUCCUGUUGUGUAUGAGCAGCGGCAAACAUUCUUCUGAGCUAGUUUGUAUUAUUGCUGGAGAGAUCCCUCUGGAUUUGGAUGCGAGUAGAGACAUCCCGAUUCUAUUGCACCAUUUCCAUAAGUGCCAAGUUUAAUGCAGACUUCUACUGCCUCUGAAUUCCAAAGCCACAACUCCUGUCUACUUCU